UGGGGAAUUUUGGACAAUGGGGGAAACCCUGAUCCAGCCAUCCCGCGUGUUCGAUGAAGGCCUUCGGGUUGUAAAGCACUUUUGGCAGGAAAGAAACGUCAUGGGUUAAUACCCCGUGAAACUGACGGUACCUGCAGAAUAAGCACCGGCUAACUACGUGCCAGCAGCCGCGGUAAUACGUAGGGUGCAAGCGUUAAUCGGAAUUACUGGGCGUAAAGCGUGCGCAGGCGGUUCGGAAAGAAAGAUGUGAAAUCCCAGAGCUCAACUUUGGAACUGCAUUUUUAACUACCGGGCUAGAGUGUGUCAGAGGGAGGUGGAAUUCCGCGUGUAGCAGUGAAAGGCGUAGAUAUGCGGAGGAACACCGAUGGCGAAGGCAGCCUCCUGGGAUAACACUGACGCUCAUGGACGAAAGCGUGGGGAGCAAACAGG
rnacentral:rRNA from 1 species